GAUGAACGCUGGCGGCGUGCUUAACACAUGCAAGUCGAACGGAAAGGCUCCUGCUUGCAGGGGUACUCGAGUGGCGAACGGGUGAGUAACACGUGGGUGAUCUGCCCUGCACUUCGGGAUAAGCCUGGGAAACUGGGUCUAAUACUGGAUAGGACGAUGGUUUGGAUGCCAUUGUGGAAAGUUUUUUCGGUGUGGGAUGAGCUCGCGGCCUAUCAGCUUGUUGGUGGGGUAAUGGCCUACCAAGGCGUCGACGGGUAGCCGGCCUGAGAGGGUGUACGGCCACAUUGGGACUGAGAUACGGCCCAGACUCCUACGGGAGGCAGCAGUGGGGAAUAUUGCACAAUGGGCGCAAGCCUGAUGCAGCGACGCCGCGUGGGGGAUGACGGCCUUCGGGUUGUAAACUCCUUUCGCUAGGGACGAAGCGCAAGUGACGGUACCUGGAGAAGAAGCACCGGCUAACUACGUG
rnacentral:rRNA from 1 species